UUAAUGUUAAAAAUGAUUCAGACACAUACAUAUUCCAGCAUAAAAGCGGCCCCAUCACGAGGCCGAAGCACGUUUUGCUUCCACAGGUUUGAGGGGUAGAAGGUCAAAAAGACCAUUCGAUAAUGAUCCCUCCGCAGGUUCACCUACGGAGA
rnacentral:misc_RNA from 1 species